CAAUUUCCAGUGCAAGUGUCAGCUAAAGAAACACAACUGCGGGUUUUCUGCAGAGCGAAAUGGUUCUGAAAUGUCACUGAAUAGCUCAAAAAAGACGCCAAUCUACGACAGCAGAGACAUAAGCAUGUAGGAAAGAGGGCCCACACUUCCUCCUGGCGCAGUGUGGAGAAAAGGGAGAGAAAGGGAGAGAGGAGUCGUGGGCCUUACUUUAUGGUUGCUAUGGUUGCAAGGUCAGCCUUCCACCCUUGAAUGUACCAGCAGAGGUCAGACAGGUCAACGUGCGACUGGCCCAGGCCCUGGGGUUAAAAGUUCAAGCAGGGAUGGAAAAACCAAUAUGUCCAUGCAGAGUAUGCUGUACAAUUUAUUUCAAUUUACAUCAAGCCAUGCAUAUAAAAUUUAGAUAAAUUCCAUUCAGAUCUGAUGUUGCCUGACAUACAAUGUAUGCAAACAGAUGUCUGUGGGGCUUUUUUUUUUCCUGUGCUUUGGAAAACAACAUUAAAUUUAAAAAUAUGUCUCUGGGAUUUCUUUAUUGAAUUACAAAAUGAACAUAACUUUAACUUAAAUGUUUUCAUUCUUCCAAUUUUUUUUUCUUUUUAGUUGGUGGGGGGGGAGGUCUUUAUAAUUUCUCAGUUCUCAAUCUACUCGGUGUCAUAGUAGAGAGGAAUAAUGUAUAUUUACAA